rnacentral:lncRNA from 1 species
UUUUGGUACGCUCCAAGAUGGCUGCCUCCAUAGUGCGGCGCGGGAUGCUCCUGGCGCGGCAAGUGGUUCUUCCUCAGCUCUCUCCUGCAGGUUGGCCGGACAGCUUCAUUAGGCCCCUGAUUAUUCUGUUUUUUGGGUGAAGGGAGCGGUGGGCUUUCAAGAGGAGAGGAAACGUUUCUGGAAUCUGAUUGCUAGGGACGCCAUUUGGGGUGUUUGGUAGUGCAGAAGAAGGAGACAAGGUAAAAGAUACCUGCUUUCUUCAGCCUAUGUAGACAGCCACAAAUGGGAAGCAAGAGAAAAAGAACAUUACUGUCUUGCUGAUCUUGCAUCUUUAAUGGAUAAAACAUUUGAGAGAAAGUUGCCUGUUAGUUCUUUAACAAUAUCACGGCUUAUAGACAACAUUUCCUCUCGGGAAGAGAUAGAUCAUGC